rnacentral:rRNA from 1 species
AUUCCAGCUCCAAUAGCGUAUAUUAAAGUUGUUGCAGUUAAAAAGCUCGUAGUUGGAUUUCUGGUCUGAGCGUCCGGUCCGCCGCUGUGCGGUGUGUACUUGGUUCGACUCGGGCCUUCCUUGUAGGGAAUGUUUCUGGCAUUAAUUUGUCGGGGGCGGGAACUGCAUCGUUUACUGUGAAAAAAUUAGAGUGUUUAAAGCAGGCAUUUGCUGUGAAUACAUUAGCAUGGAAUAAUAAGAUAGGACUUUGGUUCUAUUUUGUUGGUUGGAGGCCAAGGUAAUGAUUAAUAGGGAUAGUUGGGGGUAUUCAUAUUUAAUUGUCAGAGGUGAAAUUCUUGGAUUUAUGAAAGAUGAACUUAUGCGAAAGCAUUUACCAAGGAUGUUUUCAUCA